UACGUAGGGGGCAAGCGUUGUCCGGAAUCAUUGGGCGUAAAGCGCGUGUAGGCGGCUCGAUAAGUCUGCUGUGAAAGUCUAGGGCUCAACCCUGGGAUGCCGGUGGAUACUGUCGAGCUCGAGUCCGGAAGAGGCGAGUGGAAUUCCUGGUGUAGCGGUGAAAUGCGCAGAUAUCAGGAGGAACACCAAUGGCGAAGGCAGCUCGCUGGGACGUGACUGACGCUGAGACGCGAAAGCGUGGGGAGCAAACAGG
rnacentral:rRNA from 1 species